rnacentral:rRNA from 1 species
GUUGUAUGGUUAAGCGACCAAGCGUAUACGGUGGAUGCCUUGGCAGUCAGAGGCGAUGAAGGACGUAGUAACUUGCGAAAAGCGUUGGUGAGCUAGUAACAAGCAUUUGAGCCAGCGAUGUCCGAAUGGGGAAACCCGGCAGCAUAAGCUGUCAUCAAUACGUGAAUACAUAGCGUAUUGAGGCGAACGAGGGGAACUGAAACAUCUAAGUACCCUCAGGAAAAGAAAUCAACCGAGAUUCCCCAAGUAGCGGCGAGCGAACGGGGAUUAGCCCUUAAGUCUUUGGGGUGUUAGUGGAAUGUGUUGGAAAGCACAGCGGCACAGGGUGAUAGCCCCGUACACGUAAACUAACCAGAGAUGAAAUCGAGUAAGGCGGCACACGUGACAUGUUGUCUGAAUAUGGGGGGACCAUCCUCCAAGGCUAAAUACUCCUGACUGACCGAUAGUGAACCAGUACCGUGAGGGAAAGGCGAAAAGAACCCCUGUGAGGGGAGUGAAAUAGAACCUGAAACCGUAUACGUACAAGCAGUGGAAGCGGUCCUUGAGACCGUGACUGCGUACCUUUUGUAUAAUGGGUCAGCGACUUACAUUUAGUAGCGAGGUUAAGCGAAUAGCGGAGCCGUAGGGAAACCGAGUGUUAACUGCGCGUUUAGUUGCUAGGUGUAGACCCGAAACCCGGUGAUCUAGCCAUGGGCAGGUUGAAGGUUGAGUAACAUCAACUGGAGGACCGAACCGACUAAUGUUGAAAAAUUAGCGGAUGACUUGUGGCUGGGGGUGAAAGGCCAAUCAAACCGGGAGAUAUCUGGUUCUCCUCGAAAGCUAUUUAGGUAGCGCCUCGGACGAACACCUUUGGGGGUAGAGCACUGUUAAGGCUAGGGGGUCAUCCCGACUUACCAACCCUUUGCAAACUCCGAAUACCAAAGAGUGCUAUCCGGGAGACAGACGGCGGGUGCUAACGUCCGUCGUCAAAAGGGAAACAACCCAGACCGUCAGCUAAGGUCCCAAAGUAAUUGCUAAGUGGGAAACGAUGUGGGAAGGCUUAGACAGCUAGGAUGUUGGCUUAGAAGCAGCCAUCAUUUAAAGAAAGCGUAAUAGCUCACUAGUCGAGUCGGCCUGCGCGGAAGAUGUAACGGGGCUAAGCAAUUCACCGAAGCUACGGGUACUGAUGCUUGCAUCAGUGCGGUAGAGGAGCGUUCUGUAAGCCGUUGAAGGCGAAGGGGUAACCCACGCUGGAGGUAUCAGAAGUGCGAAUGCUGACAUGAGUAACGAUAAAGGGGGUGAAAAACCCCCUCGCCGAAAGACCAAGGGUUCCUGUCCAACGUUAAUCGGGGCAGGGUGAGUCGACCCCUAAGGCGAGGCUGAAAGGCGUAGUCGAUGGGAAACGGGUUAAUAUUCCCGUACUUCUGCUAACUGCGAUGGAGAGACGGAGAAGGCUAGGCCAGCGCGGCGUUGGUUGUCCGCGUUUAAGGUAGUAGGUGGUGUGCUUAGGCAAAUCCGGGCACACAUACACUGAGAGCUGACGACGAGUCCCCAAGGGGAUGAAGUGGUUGAUGCCAUGCUUCCAGGAAAAUCUUCUAAGCUUCAGGUUAGUAGGAAUCGUACCCCAAACCGACACAGGUGGUCGGGUAGAGAAUACCAAGGCGCUUGAGAGAACUCGGCUGAAGGAACUAGGCAAAAUGGUACCGUAACUUCGGGAGAAGGUACGCUGCCGGCGGUGAAGACCUCGCGUCGUAAGCUGCUGGCAGUCGCAGAUACCAGGUGGCUGCAACUGUUUAUCAAAAACACAGCACUGUGCAAAAUCGCAAGAUGACGUAUACGGUGUGACGCCUGCCCGGUGCCGGAAGGUUAAUUGAUUGGGUUAUCUUCGGAGAAGCUCAUGAUCGAAGCCCCGGUAAACGGCGGCCGUAACUAUAACGGUCCUAAGGUAGCGAAAUUCCUUGUCGGGUAAGUUCCGACCUGCACGAAUGGCGUAAUGAUGGCCACGCUGUCUCCAGCCGAGACUCAGUGAAGUUGAAAUUGCGGUGAAGAUGCCGUAUACCCGCGGCUAGACGGAAAGACCCCGUGAACCUUUACUAUAGCUUGGCACUGAACAUUGACCCUACAUGUGUAGGAUAGGUGGGAGACUAUGAAGAUGAGACGCCAGUCUUGUUGGAGUCAACCUUGAAAUACCACCCUUGUAGUGUUGAUGUUCUAACCUUGGUCCCUUAUCGGGAUUAGGGACAGUGCCUGGUGGGUAGUUUGACUGGGGCGGUCUCCUCCCAAAGAGUAACGGAGGAGCACGAAGGUUGGCUAAGUACGGUCGGACAUCGUACGGUUAGUGCAAUGGCAUAAGCCAGCUUAACUGCGAGACAGACACGUCGAGCAGAUGCGAAAGCAGGUCAUAGUGAUCCGGUGGUUCUGAAUGGAAGGGCCAUCGCUCAACGGAUAAAAGGUACUCCGGGGAUAACAGGCUGAUACCGCCCAAGAGUUCAUAUCGACGGCGGUGUUUGGCACCUCGAUGUCGGCUCAUCACAUCCUGGGGCUGAAGUCGGUCCCAAGGGUAUGGCUGUUCGCCAUUUAAAGUGGUACGCGAGCUGGGUUCAGAACGUCGUGAGACAGUUCGGUCCCUAUCUGCCGUGGGCGUUGGAUGAUUGAGGGGAGCUGCUCCUAGUACGAGAGGACCGGAGUGGACGAACCGCUGGUGUUCGGGUUGUCAUGCCAAUGGCAUUGCCCGGUAGCUACGUUCGGAAUCGAUAACCGCUGAAAGCAUCUAAGCGGGAAGCGAGCCCCAAGAUGAGUCAUCCCUAGGGCCUAGAGCCCUCUGAAGAGCCGUUCGAGACCAGGACGUUGAUAGGCAGGGUGUGUAAGCGUUGCGAGGCGUUGAGCUAACCUGUACUAAUGACUCGAGAGGCUUAACCAUACAACCCAGAUGGGUUUU